rnacentral:pre_miRNA from 1 species
GGCACUGGGAUUUCAGGCGUGUGCCACCACGCCAGACUAAUUAACUUUAAAGACCAUUUUAAAAGUUAAUUAGUCUGGCGUGGUGGCACACGCCUGAAAUCCCAGUGCC